rnacentral:rRNA from 1 species
UGGGGAAUAUUGCACAAUGGGCGCAAGCCUGAUGCAGCCAUGCCGCGUGUGUGAAGAAGGCCUUCGGGUUGUAAAGCACUUUCAGCGGGGAGGAAGGCGUUAAGGUUAAUAACCUUGGCGAUUGACGUUACCCGCAGAAGAAGCACCGGCUAACUCCGUGCCAGCAGCCGCGGUAAUACGGAGGGUGCAAGCGUUAAUCGGAAUUACUGGGCGUAAAGCGCACGCAGGCGGUCUGUCAAAUCGGAUGUGAAAUCCCCGGGCUCAACCUGGGAACUGCAUUCGAAACUGGCAGGCUAGAGUCUUGUAGAGGGGGGUAGAGUUCCAGGUGUAGCGGUGAAAUGCGUAGAGAGCUGGAGGAAUACCGGUGGCGAAGGCGGCCCCCUGGACAAAGACUGACGCUCAGGUGCGAAAGCGUGGGGAGCAAACAGG